AAGGGGAAGAAGGGAUUGAUGAAAUAAAAGAGAGUGAAUUGAAGACCAUGACAGUCACAAUCUGAAGCAGUGAAAGCAAAAGAAAACACCAAUUGGCAAGUCAACGCCUUUAAACUUUUUCCUCCUCUGCUGUGAAUAAUGAUGGUGUCAGUCAAAACCCAAUAUUUUGCUGAUGGGAUUAUAUUCAAUCUCCUCCAUUGUUGGGAGAAAUCAAGGAUAAGAUUGGCUUUUUGACCAGUAUUUAGGUUUGGUUUUUUAUUAAUUAAUAUUUGGUUUCGUUUUGGAGGAGUGUUUCUUAGUCUUUGGUUGUCAUGAUUUUCUUCAAAGACUUUGAUAAUAGUGAGUGCCUCUUCAGUGGGUUGAUGGGGAAUCUCUCUCUCUCUCUCUCUCUCUCCUCCUCUUCUUCUUCUUCUUCUCUCUCUCUUUCUGUCUUUCCAGCUACAGUCGUUCUACUUCGCCACUGUUUUCUUGAGGAAGGCUAAUCAAUGAUCUUUGCAUGCAUUUACCUUGAUAAGUAAAUUAAAUAUUAAUUUAAGCUUACUUUAUUUUUA